UACGGAGGGUGCAAGCGUUAUCCGGAUUCACUGGGUUUAAAGGGUGCGUAGGUGGGCAGGUAAGUCAGUGGUGAAAUCUCCGGGCUUAACCCGGAAACUGCCAUUGAUACUAUCUGUCUUGAAUACCGUGGAGGUGAGCGGAAUAUGUCAUGUAGCGGUGAAAUGCUUAGAUAUGACGCAGAACACCAAUUGCGAAGGCAGCUUGCUACACUGUUAUUGACACUGAGGCACGAAAGCGUGGGGAUCAAACAGG
rnacentral:rRNA from 1 species